AGNUUGAUNCUGUCUCAGAGUGUGCGCUGUCGSCAGGCCUAACACAUACAAGWCGAGCGSSAKMGGAAAGWANCUUUCUACUUUGCMGGCGAGCGGCGGACGGGUGAGUAAUGUCUGGGAAACUGCCUGAUGGAGGGGGAUAACUACUGGAAACGGUAGCUAAUACCGCAUAACGUCGCAAGACCAAAGAGGGGGACCUUCGGGCCUCUUGCCAUCAGAUGUGCCCAGAUGGGAUUAGCUAGUAGGUGGGGUAACGGCUCACCUAGGCGACGAUCCCUAGCUGGUCUGAGAGGAUGACCAGCCACACUGGAACUGAGACACGGUCCAGACUCCUACGGGAGGCAGCAGUGGGGAAUAUUGCACAAUGGGCGCAAGCCUGAUGCAGCCAUGCCGCGUGUAUGAAGAAGNCCUUCGGGUUGUAAAGUACUUUCANCGGGGAGGRAGNYGAURAGGUUAAUAACCUUGUCGANUGACGUUACCCGCAGAAG
rnacentral:rRNA from 1 species